rnacentral:lncRNA from 1 species
GGAGCUCCUUUUUGAGAUAUUUGAGAUUUAAAACAUAGCGGGAAAAGGCUGACUCGGUCUUUAUCUUAUCUUUGCAUUGGUAUUAUUUGGGUCUCAAAUCAAAAGAAAGAAAAUUAAAAAUCUUCUAAAAUUUUGGUAAAUGACCUUUUAUGAGCUAUUUUAAAAGUCUUAUAUGAAAAAAUAAAUGGGUGUUAUGGGUCAAAAUAUUUUACAUUGUAUUGUAUGGAAAAACACCAAGGAGUCCGAACAUUUGACACGAAUUCCAAAACCUCACCUAAGUACAUCCUUAAGUAGGAA